rnacentral:rRNA from 1 species
GACGAACGCUGGCGGCGUGCCUAAUACAUGCAAGUCGAACGCAGUGGCGGACGGGUGAGUAAGGUAUGGGGACCUGCCCGAUAGGGGGGGAGUACUACUGGGAACCGUGGCUAAUACCGCCUACCAGCGGUAGCACACUUAUGGGAUUAGCUAGUGGGUGAGGUAAAGGCUCACCAAGGCGACGAUCUCUAGCUGUUCUGAGAGGGUGAUCAGCCACACUGGGACUGAGACACGGCCCAGACUCCUACGGGAGGCAGCAGUAGGGAAUAUUCGACAAUGGACGAAAGCCUGAUCCAGCAAUGCCGCGUGUGUGAAGAAGGUCUUAGGAUUGUAAAGUACUUUCGUUAGAGAAGCGUUAUCCAACCAGAAAGCAACGGCUAACUCCGUGCCAGCAGCCGCGGUAAUAC